AUCCUCCAAGGCUAAAUACUCCUGACUGACCGAUAGUGAACCAGUACCGUGAGGGAAAGGCGAAAAGAACCCCGGCGAGGGGAGUGAAAAAGAACCUGAAACCGUGUACGUACAAGCAGUGGGAGCCCCACCACCAAAGCAUUUGCUGUACCGCGUUGACGGAGCGAAGCGACGUCAAACCGAUAAAACAGCAGUGUAAAGUGAGCCGCAGGGCGCUUUGCGCGACAGCGCAAAGGCAGGCGGUUUCGCGUAGCGAAAGCGAAUGCUUUGGGGUGGGGUGACUGCGUACCUUUUGUAUAAUGGGUCAGCGACUUAUAUUCUGUAGCAAGGUUAACCGAAUAGGGGAGCCGUAGGGAAACCGAGUCUUAACCGGGCGUUAAGUUGCAGGGUAUAGACCCGAAACCCGGUGAUCUAGCCAUGGGCAGGUUGAAGGUUGGGUAACACUAACUGGAGGACCGAACCGACUAAUGUUGAAAAA
rnacentral:rRNA from 1 species